UUUUUUUUUAUAUAAAGUCUUAAGAUAAGUUGUUUUGUUUCACCACCUGAAUGCAAUUAGUUUGAUGAUUUUUUUGAUGCACUACCUCUUAAAUAUUUUCACUAGGUUGAACAUUGAUCAAUGUUGGUAUAUUUUGCUUCAGAUGCUUUUCUCGUUCACAAUUCUAUAUAGUUUCCACUAUAGAUCAAUAUUGAAAUAUUUUGUUUCCCAUUUCUUUCUGUUUUGUAAAUUU
rnacentral:lncRNA from 1 species